GUCCACGCCGUAAACGAUGGGCACUAGGCGUCGGGGGGAGCGACCCUCCCGGUGCCGUCGCUAACGCUAUAAGUGCCCCGCCUGGGGAGUACGGCCGCAAGGCUGAAACUCAAAGGAAUUGACGGGGGCCCGCACAAGCGGUGGAGCAUGUGGUUUAAUUCGAAGCAACGCGAAGAACCUUACCUGGGCUUGACAUGCAUGGGAAAGCCGGUGGAAACACCGGGCCUCCUUCGGGACUCAUGCACAGGUGCUGCAUGGCUGUCGU
rnacentral:rRNA from 1 species